rnacentral:rRNA from 1 species
AAUAGAUACCCUGGUAGUCCACGCCGUAAACGAUGGAUACUAGCUGUUUGAGCGCAAGUUUGAGUGGCUAAGCGAAAGUGAUAAGUAUCCCACCUGGGGAGUACGGGCGCAAGCCUGAAACUCAAAGGAAUUGACGGGGGCCCGCACAAGCGGUGGAGCAUGUGGUUUAAUUCGAUGAUACGCGAGGAACCUUACCAGGGCUUAAAUGUAGAUUGACGUAUUUGGAAACAGAUAUUUCUUCGGACAAUUUACAAGGUGCUGCAUGGUUGUCGUCAGCUCGUGCCGUGAGGUGUCAGGUUAAGUCCUAUAACGAGCGCAACCCCUGUUGUUAGUUGCCAGCGAGUAAUGUCGGGAACUCGUAGCAAGACUGCCAGUGUAAACUGUGAGGAAGGUGGGGAUGACGUCAAAUCAUCACGGCCCUUACGUCCUGGGCCACACACGUGCUACAAUGGCCGGUACAGAGAGCAGCCACUUAGCGAUAAGGAGCGAAUCUAUAAAGCCGGUCACAGUUCGGA